rnacentral:rRNA from 1 species
UACAGAGGUCUCAAGCGUUGUUCGGAUUCAUUGGGCGUAAAGGGGUGCGUAGGCGGCGCGGUAAGUCGGGUGUGAAAUCUCGGGGCUUAACUCCGAAACUGCAUUCGAUACUGCCGUGCUUGAGGACUGGAGAGGAGACUGGAAUUUACGGUGUAGCGGUGAAAUGCGUAGAUAUCGUAAGGAAGACCAGUGGCGAAGGCGGGUCUCUGGACAGUUCCUGACGCUGAGGCACGAAGGUCAGGGGAGCAAACGGG